GGUGGGAGCGUGUGACAAAAGACCAAAAUGAGUGACUGUCACACUCAAUGCGUGACACUUAAGAGCCCUGGAGGACAUAUUCCAUCAACAUUUUGUCUUUCUUGCUUAUUUUGCUAACAGUGAUAACUGAGCAGAAUAACAGGGUUGAUAGGAUGGAAUAACAGGUUUUGGAACAGAAGCCAUAAGUUUAAGUGUAGAAAUAGACAAUAUAUUCGUGAAUAAACCCCUUGAAAUUUUCUGCUGACCCAUAACGUUUUUGGGGUAAGGCAAAUCUCACUGAUUCAGCUCUGGAAGUGGAGAGGAGAUUGGAUGUAUUGUGUUAACCCUCUGGGGUCGAAAGACGCACCGUGCGUCUUUGGCACAUUUUUUCCUCUUCGACGUGAAGUCCACUUAAAAUACUCCGUCAUUCAUAGUCAUACACAUACAUGUAAUACAUCAAUCGAAACUGUGAAGUGUCUACUUUUAUUUGAGUGCCUUCAUAUUAACAACAAAACGCUGUGCUUUUGGCAAAUAAAGAAAAUAACCAGGUUGUGCAUUCAGACAUCUCCGUGAACUUGCCCUUCUUCCUGAAACACGUUACAAACAUGAACUGAUAACUCCGCCAGUACUUAUCACACGAACAUGAUACAUAUGUUUAAUGAAAGCCUGAAAUGUCUACUUUUAAAUGAGGUAAUUAAAAUCGAAAGCAAAUAUUGUCUUUUUGUGUAAUCUGUAUGUAAGUAAAGAGAGGUACAGUUUUUCUGGCUCGACCUCAUUACCACUAAUGUGAUCCCACCUACCGCCGUGCGCGCCAUUCAUAUGAAAAUUACCUGAGCGGGCUAUGCAAAUAAGAUCAACGCCCCCAAACAAUGUAAGAAGCACAAAGUUUUAACAGAUUAAACAGAUGAAGAUGAAGAGCAGGACUCCGACGACGAACGUUUGUAUUUUGAAGAGCGACUUGAUCCGCGAGCGAGGAUAUAAUUUCUGAAGAGAAUGUGGCUGCAUCACUCUUGUCUUCACCUGCACCGGCUGCAACACUUUCACCUUCGUUUGAUGCUCGCACGGGGGCACGCAGCAACGAGAACAAUAAGGAGAAUGUGGCUGCAACACGUUCACCUUCGUCUGAUACUCGCACGAGGGCACGCAGCAACGCGAGCGACAUUCAUCCAGUGAAUGUGGCUGCAACACGUUCACCUUCGUCUGAUACUCGCACGAGGGCAUGCAGCAACGCAACUGGGAACAAAAAAGAGAAUGUGUCUGCAUCACCUUUACCUUUACCAUCACCUGCUACUCACACAUGCCGUAGGUCUUCUUUCAGUUCAAAGCAACUGAGACUAAUGUGUGUUCAGUUAAAUAGGAACUGUUUUGAGCAAUGGCAUGACGACAUUUAAACUCCAUUCUCAAAGAUUCACAGUGUGUGAUGGCUUACAAAUUUAUAUCUUAUUUUUUAUAUUGUAAAGA